rnacentral:rRNA from 1 species
UAAACAUUAAGAAAUAAGCGAAAGCUUGACUUAGUUAUAGCUAUAUUAGAGCCGGUAAAACUCGUGCCAGCCACCGCGGUUAUACGAGAGGCUCAAAUUGAUGACCAACGGCGUAAAGAGUGAUUAGAGAACAACCAACUAAAGCUGAAAACACCCUAGGCCGUAAUACGCUUUCCGGGGAUAGAAAACCUAAAACGAAAGUAGCUUUAAUAAACUUGAAUUCACGACCCUUGAGAAACAAACCGGGAUUAGAUACCCCGCUAUGCUCAACAGUAAACAAAGAUGGCAACACACAACUACCAUCCGCCAGGAAAUUACGAGCACAUUAUAUUUUUAUGCUUGAAACCCAAGGGACUUGACGGUGCCUUAGACCUACCUAGAGGAGCCUGUCCCACAACCGAUAACCCCCGUUAAACCUAACCACCCCUUGCCACAUCAGUCUAUAUACCGCCGUCGCCAGCUUACCUUGUGAAAGUAGAAUAGUAAGCUAAAUGAGAUUUUUAACCCAGAACGUCAGGUCGAGGUGUAACACACGAGGUGGAGAAAGAUGGGCUACAUUUUCUGAAGCAGAACAACACGAAAGAUGUUAUGAAAAACACA